rnacentral:rRNA from 1 species
CACGUAGGGCGCAAGCGUUGUCCGGAAUUACUGGGCGUAAAGGGCGCGUAGGCGGUGCUCUAAGUCGGAUGUGAAAACUCUGGGCUCAACCCAGAGCCUGCAUCCGAAACUGGAGUGCUAGAGUUCUGGAGGGGGUAGCGGAAUUCCUGGUGUAGCGGUGAAAUGCGUAGAUAUCAGGAGGAACACCGGUGGCGAAGGCGGCUACCUGGACAGAAACUGACGCUGAGGCGCGAAAGCUAGGGGAGCAAACAGG